rnacentral:lncRNA from 1 species
UUUGUAUAAGAGUUUGUGGCUGUAUCAUUACUCUUAUUUAAAUACAUAAAAGAGUAUCAUUUGUGUCAAAUAAGUGCACAAAUUUUUAUGUAAAUCGUGUUAAAUUAGUUUAAGCAAGUUAUUGAAUUAUGCUAUGUUGGGUUAUGUGAUUAUCUCACUAUUAAAUAGGUACGUCAAGUCACCCAUUUAUUAUUCAGAUCGGGAAUUUUGAUAUUUUAACACAAUUAUUAAAUAGAUCGUGUUUAUAUCAAUCUAAAUUUAACAUGACAUAAUACAGUAAUACACAAUCCAGUGAUCUUGCGUGAUGAUCGUUACUUGACUGCUAAAAUACCAAAUUACCCCUGUCGUCAAAACCAAACACUGGUAUGAUACUAGCCAAGUUCGGCAGUGACGGUGCUUAGUUGUGGCAUGAGAUUGGUUUGGAAACAGUGAGUUUGAUUUUUGGGAGUAGCUUUGAUGUUAAAUUCCAAUAUGUAUUAUUUAUAUCGAUAUAUUUCCUACGAGAAUGUGAGCCUAAGUGUAAACUUUAGUUUUGAUUUUCCUCUCAAAUAACUUACCCAAGAAGUAGCUUAGAUAGGGAUGGCUAUGGAGCAUAUAUGGAUUGGAUCUAUAUUGCUUCAGAUCCAGAUCCGUAAUAAAAUUUAAGAUCCGUAUCUACUCCAGAUUAGUUAUGGAUCUAUAUUUUUCGCUCCAUAUCUAGAUCUGAAACAAAAAAUAAAGAUUUAUAUCUGCUCCAAAUCCAAAUUGAAAAAUUAAAAUCCAAAUCUACUCUAGAUCCAUCAUGAAUUCUAAAUCUCAAUAAUAAGAGAACAAUUUUUUUUAGAAAGAAAAUUUAAGACUAAAAUGCAUUGGUAACAAUUAAAUUAUAUAAUUUGUACAAAAAAUCUAAUAAGUAUUGUAGCUUCUACUUUUACACCAAAAUAAACAAAUAAGAAAGAUAAUAAAAUAUCGAUAAAAAGUAAUUGCAUAAUAAAAUCAUUAUAAUAUUCUAAUGUCUCCUUUAUUAUUUUGAUAUCCAUUGCACACCAUCAUCAUUCCUAUAUCAUUAAAUAAUAACAUAUAAGUUAAAAAUGAUUUAUUAUAUUCGGUGUUUUA